rnacentral:rRNA from 1 species
GGCUCAGGAUGAACGCUGGCGGCGUGCCUAAUACAUGCAAGUCGAACGCACAGCGAAAGGUGCUUGCACCUUUCAAGUGAGUGGCGAACGGGUGAGUAACACGUGGAUAACCUACCUCAAGGUUGGGGAUAACAUCUGGAAACAGAUGCUAAUACCGAAUAAAACUUCGUAUCGCAUGAUACAAGGUUAAAAGGCGCUACGGCGUCACCUAGAGAUGGAUCCGCGGUGCAUUAGUUAGUUGGUGGGGUAAAGGCCUACCAAGACAAUGAUGCAUAGCCGAGUUGAGAGACUGAUCGGCCACAUUGGGACUGAGACACGGCCCAAACUCCUACGGGAGGCUGCAGUAGGGAAUCUUCCACAAUGGGCGAAAGCCUGAUGGAGCAACGCCGCGUGUGUGAUGAAGGCUUUCGGGUCGUAAAGCACUGUUGUAUGGGAAGAACAGCUAGAGUAGGGAAUGACUUUAGUUUGACGGUACCAUACCUGAAAGGGACGGCUAAAUACGUG